rnacentral:rRNA from 1 species
CGGGAGGCAGCAGUAGGGAAUAUUGGGCAAUGGGCGCAAGCCUGACCCAGCCAUGCCGCGUGCAGGAUGAAGGCGCUCAGCGUUGUAAACUGCUUUUAUCGGUGAAGAACGGCAGUCCUGCGGGAUUGUGUGACGGUAGCCGAGGAAUAAGCACCGGCUAACUCCGUGCCAGCAGCCGCGGUAAUACGGAGGGUGCAAGCGUUGUCCGGAUUUAUUGGGUUUAAAGGGUGCGUAGGUGGUCGUCUAAGUCUGGUUUUAAAGUUGGCUGCUUAACAGUCAAAGGUGGCUGGAAACUGGACGACUUGAAUGGGAUGGCGGUAGCCGGAAUGGGUCAUGUAGCGGUGAAAUGCAUAGAUAUGACCCGGAACACCGAUUGCGAAGGCAGGCUACUACGUCCCGAUUGACACUGAGGCACGAGAGCAUGGGUAGCGAACAGGAUUAGAUACCCUGGUAGUCCAUGCCGUAAACGAUGAUUACUGGCUGUGUGGUCUUUGGGCUGCGUGGCUGAGCGAAAGCGUUAAGUAAUCCACCUGGGGAGUACGCUGGCAACAGUGAAACUCAAAGGAAUUGACGG